CUAUCCCCAGUCACAGCGAUUAACCAUGAAUACUGCAAUCCCCAGGGCUUCUCAGCAGGAGGAAGCCAGGAUAUUUCCAUUUCUCCAGAAGCUCCCAUACAGAGAGAAGCAGGGUCUAUCUCCAGUUCACCUGACCUGACAGAUUUCCUCUGAAAAACAAAUCCUGGCACCUCAAGCAAAUACUGGGAACUACUUACAAAGCCAAAUUGCAAAACUGUGCAGGGAAAUGCCUAAAACUUCUUACCAAGACUUUUAUAGCUUACAUCCUUACGGGCAGCAAACUGAAUGUGUAACAGAACCACAACUGGUCAGAAUAAGUGAAGCUCCACCAAGAAGUCAUUCAUAAAUGACAGAGACUCAAGUGGUAAAGCAUCUCAGCAAAUGACUACAGAUGGACAAGGCUCAGAGAGGCCUUAAUUCCAGUUGGAUGGAAUAAUCAUAUAUUUGGGAAGAAUUUAUGAGUUUGUGACAAUUCAGAUUAUCUGUGAAGCUUUAUCAGAGGGACUCUUGAGAUUCAAAUCCACUAAGAAUUUUUUUGAAAGAAAUGCAGACAGCAACUAGGGCAAAAAAAAAAAAACAACUGGAAAUUUUAUAGGGAAAAAAAUCUUUCACUGAUACUUUCUUUCAUGUCAAAUGACACUUAGCCAA